rnacentral:rRNA from 1 species
GACGAACGCUGGCGGCGUGCCUAAUACAUGCAAGUUGAGCGCUGAAGGUUGGUACUUGUACCAACUGGGUGAGCAGCGAACGGGUGAGUAACGCGUGGGGAAUCUGCCUUUGAGCGGGGGACAACAUUUGGAAACGAAUGCUAAUACCGCAUAAAAACUUUAAACACAAGUUUUAAGUUUGAAAGAUGCAAUUGCAUCACUCAAAGAUGAUCCCGCGUUGUAUUAGCUAGUUGGUGAGGUAAAGGCUCACCAAGGCGAUGAUACAUAGCCGACCUGAGAGGGUGAUCGGCCACAUUGGGACUGAGACACGGCCCAAACUCCUACGGGAGGCAGCAGUAGGGAAGCUUCGGCAAUGGACGAAAGUCUGACCGAGCUACGCAGCGUGAGUGAAGAAGGUUUUCGGAUCGUAAAACUCUGUUGGUAGAGAAGAACGUUGGUGAGAGUGGAAAGCUCAUCAAGUGACGGUAACUACCCAGAAAGGGACGGCUAACUACGUG